AUGAAAGCCCCAGAAGAUCCCAAAUACCAUGGAAAGAAGACCACAAGAGCCCUAGAAGGGCCCAAGGAUGAUGGAAAGAAGACCACUCCAGCCAACACUACGAGAGCCCUUGGAGGACUAAAGAAUCCUAGGGAGAAGACCACCACCGUCAGCGGGAAGACCACCAGUACCGCAGAAGGGGCCCCAGACCAUGGAAGGAAGACCGCUGCAGCGAGUGGGAAGACCACGAGAGCCCUGGGAGGACUCAAGAAUCCUGGGGAGAAGACCACCACAGUCAUUGGGAAGACCACCAGUACCGCAGAAGGGCCCCCAGACCAUGGAAGGAAGACCGCUGCAGCGAGCAGGAAGACCACGAGAGCCCUGGGAGGACUCAAGAAUCCUGGGGAGAAGACCACCACCGUCAGCGGGAAGACCACCAGUACCGCAGAAGGGCCCCCAGACCAUGGAAGGAAGACCGCUGCAGCGAGUGGGAAGACCACGAGAGCCCUGGGAGGACUCAAGAAUCCUGGGGAGAAGACCACCACAGUCAUUGGGAAGACCACCAGUACCGCAGAAGGGCCCCCAGACCAUGGAAGGAAGACCGCUGCAGCGAGCGGGAAGACCACGAGAGCCCUGGGAGGACUCAAGAAUCCUGGGGAGAAGACCACCACCAUCAGCGGGAAGACCACCAGUACCGCAGAAGGGCCCCCAGACCAUGGAAGGAAGACCGCUGCAGCGAGUGGGAAGACCACGAGAGCCCUGGGAGGACUCAAGAAUCCUGGGGAGAAGACCACCACCGUCAGCGGGAAGACCACCAGUACCGCAGAAGGGCCCCCAGACCAUGGAAGGAAGACCGCUGCAGCGAGUGGGAAGACCACGAGAGCCCUGGGAGGACUCAAGAAUCCUGGGGAGAAGACCACCACAGUCAUUGGGAAGACCACCAGUACCGCAGAAGGGCCCCCAGACCAUGGAAGGAAGACCGCUGCAGCGAGCGGGAAGACCACGAGAGCCCUGGGAGGACUCAAGAAUCCUGGGGAGAAGACCACCAUCAGCGGGAAGACCACCAGUACCGCAGAAGGGCCCCAGACCAUGGAAGGAAGACCGCUGCAGCGAGUGGGAAGACCACGAGAGCCCUGGGAGGACUCAAGAAUCCUGGGAGAAGACCACCACAGUCAUUGGGAAGACCACCAGUACCGCAGAAGGGCCCCCAGACCAUGGAAGGAAGACCGCUGCAGCGAGUGGGAAGACCACGAGAGCCCUGGGGGGACUCAAGAAUCCUGGGGAGAAGACCACCACCGUCAGUGGGAAGACCACCAGUACCUCUCACAUGAAGCUGAGUUCCACCAUGUCAGAGAUCCCAGACAAUGA
rnacentral:lncRNA from 1 species